GGAUAAAUUAAUAUAAAUAAAUUAAAUAUAUUUACACUAUUUUGUCUACUCCAUUUCUAUUUCUACUUUUGCCUUAUUACUAUCAAUCCUAUGUAGGAACACUUUUCCUUUUGUCUUUGCAAAGCAAAGGAAAAGUAGUAUGCUCCUCUCCCUCCCUAAAGGAGGGUCCUAGGGCUAAAUAUAACUGCAAAGGUGUAUAUUAAAUAUGGAAAAACAAAAAAAGUAAAAUAACUUAUUUAUAAAUAACUAUCACUCAAUCCAGUCUUAAAAAAAAAAAAAGAAAAAACAAUAUAAUAAAAAUAAAAAUAAUAAUACAAAUUACUAUUUAUAUAAAUAAAUACUUUCUCCUUAUUAUUUAAAUAGAGGGAUUGGCUAUGCAAGAACUGGUA
rnacentral:rRNA from 1 species